rnacentral:sRNA from 1 species
GCCAGGUGUGUUGGCGGGCGCCUGUAAUCCCAGCUACUCGGGAGGCUGAGGCAGGAGGAUCGCUUGAGGCCAGGAGUUGGAGGCUGCAGUGAGUCAUGAUUGUGCCACUGCAUUCCAGCCUGGGCAACAGAGUGAGACCUGUCUCUU